rnacentral:rRNA from 1 species
CAGUAGCCGCGGGAAAACGGAGGGGGCUAGCGUUGUUCGGAAUUACUGGGAGUAAAGCGCACGUAGGCGGCUUGGUAAGUUAGAGGUGAAAGCCCGGAGCUCAACUCCGGAAUUGCCUUUAAGACUGCCGAGCUAGUAGGUGAGAGAGGUAAGUGGAAUUCCGAGUGUAGAGGUGAAAUUUGUAGAUAUUCGGAAGAACACCAGUGGCGAAGGCGGCUUACUGGCUCAUUCUAGACGCUGAGGUGCGAAAGCGUGGGGAGCAAACAGGAUUAGAUACCCCAGUAGUCCCUGUCUCUUAUAC